AUUGAACGCUGGCGGCAUGCCUUACACAUGCAAGUCGAACGGUAACAGGUUAAGCUGACGAGUGGCGAACGGGUGAGUAAUACAUCGGAACGUGCCCAGUAGUGGGGGAUAGCCCGGCGAAAGCCGGAUUAAUACCGCAUACGACCUACGGGUGAAAGGGGGGGAUCGCAAGACCUCUCGCUAUUGGAGCGGCCGAUGUCAGAUUAGGUAGUUGGUGGGGUAAAGGCCCACCAAGCCGACGAUCUGUAGCUGGUCUGAGAGGACGACCAGCCACACUGGGACUGAGACACGGCCCAGACUCCUACGGGAGGCAGCAGUGGGGAAUUUUGGACAAUGGGCGCAAGCCUGAUCCAGCCAUGCCGCGUGCGGAGAGGCCUCGGUUGUA
rnacentral:rRNA from 1 species